rnacentral:siRNA from 1 species
AGGGUUUUAGGUGUCGACAAAGCC